ACGAGAAAAGAAUAAAAGAAGCCGGGCUGCUCACGGGCAUGGGCGCUGAGUGGGGAAGGGAAGGUGGCAGGCGUGUCCUCUCCUCUCUUCCGCUGCGGUCCAGCGGGGAGGAGGGACAGUCAGCCUCCAAGGCAAGAAAGAACAAAAUGGAAGUUUUAUCACAACUCUGCUUCCUUUUGGGUGCCCCCACCCUCCCUUAUUACUAGAGGUGAGAAAGCUGCUGAGCAGCUUUGGAAAGAGCAGGCUGCUGCUAGAAACUUUACAUGUUUCCAGAAAUGGAUCCUAGAAUCACAGAAGUACAAAGCUGCAAAGUACCACAGGGGAUCAUCUGUGCCCUCCUUUC